GAUGAAGAACGUAGCGAAAUGCGAUAAGUAGGGUGAAUUGCAGAAUUCAGUGAAUCAUCGAAUCUUUGAACGCACAUUGCGCCCCUUGGUAUUCCAUGGGGCAUGCCUGUUCGAGCGUCAUUUGUACCUUCAAGCUUUGCUUGGUGUUGGGUGUUUGUCCCGAGGGACUCGCCUUAAAGUAAUUGGCAGCCAGUGUUUGGUUUUGAAGCGCAGCACAAGUCGCGAUUCAAGGCUACACGCCCGCUUCCACAAGCCUUUUUUCACUUUUGACCUCGGAUCAGGUAGGGAUACCCGCUGAACUUAAGCAUAUCAAUAAGCGGAGGA
rnacentral:misc_RNA from 1 species